rnacentral:rRNA from 1 species
UGGGGAAUAUUGCACAAUGGGCGCAAGCCUGAUGCAGCCAUGCCGCGUGUGUGAAGAAGGCCUUCGGGUUGCAAAGCACUUUCAGCGGGGAGGAAGGCGUUAAGGUUAAUAACCUUGGCGAUUGACGUUACCCGCAGAAGAAGCACCGGCUAACUCCGUGCCAGCAGCCGCGGUAAUACGGAGGGUGCAAGCGUUAAUCGGAAUUACUGGGCGUAAAGCGCACGCAGGCGGUCUGUCAAGUCGGAUGUGAAAUCCCCGGGCUCAACCUGGGAACUGCAUUCGAAACUGGCAGGCUAGAGUCUUGUAGAGGGGGGUAGAAUUCCAGGUGUAGCGGUGAAAUGCGUAGAGAUCUGGAGGAAUACCGGUGGCGAAGGCGGCCCCCUGGACAAAGACUGACGCUCAGGUGCGAAAGCGUGGGGAGCAAACAGG